UGCAAGUCGAGCGGUAGCACAGAAGAGCUUGCUCUUUGGGUGACGAGCGGCGGACGGGUGAGUAAUGUCUGGGAAACUGCCUGAUGGAGGGGGAUAACUACUGGAAACGGUAGCUAAUACCGCAUAACGUCGCAAGACCAAAGUGGGGGACCUUCGGGCCUCAUGCCAUCAGAUGUGCCCAGAUGGGAUUAGCUAGUAGGUGAGGUAAUGGCUCACCUAGGCGACGAUCCCUAGCUGGUCUGAGAGGAUGACCAGCCACACUGGAACUGAGACACGGUCCAGACUCCUACGGGAGGCAGCAGUGGGGAAUAUUGCACAAUGGGCGCAAGCCUGAUGCAGCCAUGCCGCGUGUAUGAAGAAGGCCUUCGGGUUGUAAAGUACUUUCAGCGAGGAGGAAGGCGUUAAGGUUAAUAACCUUGGCGAUUGACGUUACUCGCAGAAGAAGCACCGGCUAACUCCGUGCCAGCAGCCGCGGUAAUACGGAGGGUGCAAGCGUUAAUCGGAAUUACUGGGCGUAAAGCGCACGCAGGCGGUCUGUCAAGUCGGAUGUGAAAUCCCCGGGCUCAACCUGGGAACUGCAUCCGAAACUGGCAGGCUAGAGUCUUGUAGAGGGGGGGUAGAAUUCCAGGUGUAGCGGUGAAAUG
rnacentral:rRNA from 1 species